rnacentral:tRNA from 1 species
ACACUGGUGGUUCGGUAGUACAAUUCUCGCCUUCCACGCUGGAGACCCGGGUUUGAUUCCCGGCCAGCAUA